GCUGGCAAGGCAACACUGAGCACUUACAGUCGGAAAACCUGGACAACCCUGUAAGGCUGCUGUGACAAGUGUCUGUAGGUGCUGCGCAAACCAGACAUCGGCCAUCUGCAUGUCCCGAAGGCAACAGAGAGUCAGAGACAGAGCUACUGUGCAGUGCCGAACCAGGAGCCACAAAGGACUGUCAGCCACACGAUGACGCCCACAGGGAACUGGUGUGAGCACUGAGAUCGCAGCUAUUCUGAAUGUGCUGAUCACAGAACGUGCACAUCAGUGACAGCACUGGGCCCGCAUACUGCAGCAUAACGGGAAACAAACUCAGUUUCUUCGCCAGAAGCAUACAUAGUUCAGAGCUUUGAUUUCAGCUGAAAAGAUAUGCAUCUUGCACACUUCAAUAGGUACAAUUUAUCAGAAUUUUCAUAAAUGUGGGGUUUAAAGAGGCAACAGAAGAGUCAGCUGGAAGAAACAGAAGACUAAUCUCUAAAGAAGUGGGCAGAGCUGGAAGUUAUUACACUCAGAUUGGCUAAAUGUAAAAUAAAAUGGAUUUGGGUUUU